AUAAUGGGUCAGCGACUUAUAUUCUGUAGCAAGGUUAACCGAAUAGGGGAGCCGAAGGGAAACCGAGUCUUAACUGGGCGUUAAGUUGCAGGGUAUAGACCCGAAACCCGGUGAUCUAGCCAUGGGCAGGUUGAAGGUUGGGUAACACUAACUGGAGGACCGAACCGACUAAUGUUGAAAAAUUAGCGGAUGACUUGUGGCUGGGGGUGAAAGGCCAAUCAAACCGGGAGAUAGCUGGUUCUCCCCGAAAGCUAUUUAGGUAGCGCCUCGUGAAUUCAUCUCCGGGGGUAGAGCACUGUUUCGGCAAGGGGGUCAUCCCGACUUACCAACCCGAUGCAAACUGCGAAUACCGGAGAAUGUUAUCACGGGAGACACACGGCGGGUGCUAACGUCCGUCGUGAAGAGGGAAACAACCCAGACCGCCAGCUAAGGUCCCAAAGUCAUGGUUAAGUGGGAAACGAUGUGGGAAGGCCCAGACAGCCAGGAUGUUGGCUUAGAAGCAGCCAUCAUUUAAAGAAAGCGUAAUAGCUCACUGGUCGAGUCGGCCUGCGCGGAAGAUGUAACGGGGCUAAACCAUGCACCGAAGCUGCGGCAGCGACGCUUAUGCGUUGUUGGGUAGGGGAGCGUUCUGUAAGCCUGCGAAGGUGUGCUGUGAGGCAUGCUGGAGGUAUCAGAAGUGCGAAUGCUGACAUAAGUAACGAUAAAGCGGGUGAAAAGCCCGCUCGCCGGAAGACCAAGGGUUCCUGUCCAACGUUAAUCGGGGCAGGGUGAGUCGACCCCUAAGGCGAGGCCGAAAGGCGUAGUCGAUGGGAAACAGGUUAAUAUUCCUGUACUUGGUGUUACUGCGAAGGGGGGACGGAGAAGGCUAUGUUGGCCGGGCGACGGUUGUCCCGGUUUAAGCGUGUAGGCUGGUUUUCCAGGCAAAUCCGGAAAACUAAGGCUGAGGCGUGAUGACGAGGCACUACGGUGCUGAAGCAACAAAUGCCCUGCUUCCAGGAAAAGCCUCUAAGCAUCAGGUAACAUCAAAUCGUACCCCAAACCGACACAGGUGGUCAGGUAGAGAAUACCAAGGCGCUUGAGAGAACUCGGGUGAAGGAACUAGGCAAAAUGGUGCCGUAACUUCGGGAGAAGGCACGCUGAUAUGUAGGUGAAGUCCCUCGCGGAUGGAGCUGAAAUCAGUCGAAGAUACCAGCUGGCUGCAACUGUUUAUUAAAAACACAGCACUGUGCAAACACGAAAGUGGACGUAUACGGUGUGACGCCUGCCCGGUGCCGGAAGGUUAAUUGAUGGGGUCAGCGCAAGCGAAGCUCUUGAUCGAAGCCCCGGUAAACGGCGGCCGUAACUAUAACGGUCCUAAGGUAGCGAAAUUCCUUGUCGGGUAAGUUCCGACCUGCACGAAUGGCGUAAUGAUGGCCAGGCUGUCUCCACCCGAGACUCAGUGAAAUUGAACUCGCUGUGAAGAUGCAGUGUACCCGCGGCAAGACGGAAAGACCCCGUGAACCUUUACUAUAGCUUGACACUGAACAUUGAGCCUUGAUGUGUAGGAUAGGUGGGAGGCUUUGAAGUGUGGACGCCAGUCUGCAUGGAGCCGACCUUGAAAUACCACCCUUUAAUGUUUGAUGUUCUAACGUUGACCCGUGAUCCGGGUUGCGGACAGUGUCUGGUGGGUAGUUUGACUGGGGCGGUCUCCUCCUAAAGAGUAACGGAGGAGCACGAAGGUUGGCUAAUCCUGGUCGGACAUCAGGAGGUUAGUGCAAUGGCAUAAGCCAGCUUGACUGCGAGCGUGACGGCGCGAGCAGGUGCGAAAGCAGGUCAUAGUGAUCCGGUGGUUCUGAAUGGAAGGGCCAUCGCUCAACGGAUAAAAGGUACUCCGGGGAUAACAGGCUGAUACCGCCCAAGAGUUCAUAUCGACGGCGGUGUUUGGCACCUCGAUGUCGGCUCAUCACAUCCUGGGGCUGAAGUAGGUCCCAAGGGUAUGGCUGUUCGCCAUUUAAAGUGGUACGCGAGCUGGGUUUAGAACGUCGUGAGACAGUUCGGUCCCUAUCUGCCGUGGGCGCUGGAGAACUGAGGGGGGCUGCUCCUAGUACGAGAGGACCGGAGUGGACGCAUCACUGGUGUUCGGGUUGUCAUGCCAAUGGCACUGCCCGGUAGCUAAAUGCGGAAGAGAUAAGUGCUGAAAGCAUCUAAGCACGAAACUUGCCCCGAGAUGAGUUCUCCCUGACUCCUUGAGAGUCCUGAAGGAACGUUGAAG
rnacentral:rRNA from 1 species